rnacentral:rRNA from 1 species
GAUGAACGCUGGCGGCGUGCCUAAUACAUGCAAGUCGAGCGAACGGACGAGAAGCUUGCUUCUCUGAUGUUAGCGGCGGACGGGUGAGUAACACGUGGAUAACCUACCUAUAAGACUGGGAUAACUUCGGAAAACCGGAGCUAAUACGGGAUGAUAUUUUGAACCGCAUGGUUAAAAAGUGAAAGACGGUCUUGCUGUCCCUUAUAGAUGGAUCCGCGCUGCAUUAGCUAGUUGGUAAGGUAACGGCUUACCAAGGCAACGAUGCAUAGCCGACCUGAGAGGGUGAUCGGCCACACUGGAACUGAGACACGGUCCAGACUCCUACGGGAGGCAGCAGUAGGGAAUCUUCCGCAAUGGGCGAAAGCCUGACGGAGCAACGCCGCGUGAGUGAUGAAGGUCUUCGGAUCGUAAAACUCUGUUAUUAGGGAAGAACAUAUGUGUAAGUAACUGUGCACAUCUUGACGGUACCUAAUCAGAAAGCCACGGCUAACUACGUG